rnacentral:rRNA from 1 species
GAUGAACGCUGGCGGCGUGCCUAAUACAUGCAAGUCGAGCGAACAGAUGAGAAGCUUGCUUCUCUGAUGUUAGCGGCGGACGGGUGAGUAACACGUGGGUAACCUACCUAUAAGACUGGGAUAACUCCGGGAAACCGGGGCUAAUACCGGAUAAUAUUUUGAACCGCAUGGUUCAAUAGAGAAAGACGGUUUCGGCUGUCACUUAUAGAUGGACCCGCGCCGUAUUAGCUAGUUGGUAUGGUAACGGCUUACCAAGGCGACGAUACGUAGCCGACCUGAGAGGGUGAUCGGCCACACUGGAACUGAGACACGGUCCAGACUCCUACGGGAGGCAGCAGUAGGGAAUCUUCCGCAAUGGGCGAAAGCCUGACGGAGCAACGCCGCGUGAGUGAUGAAGGUCUUCGGAUCGUAAAACUCUGUUGUUAGGGAAGAACAAAUUUGUUAGUAACUGAACAAGUCUUGACGGUACCUAACCAGAAAGCCACGGCUAACUACGUGCCAGCAGCCGCCGUAA